rnacentral:rRNA from 1 species
CCUACGGGCGGCAGCAGUGGGGAAUAUUGGACAAUGGGGGGAACCCUGAUCCAGCCAUGCCGCGUGUGUGAAGAAGGCCCUCGAGUUGUAAAGCACUUUCAGUGAGGAAGAACGCCUGGUGGUUAAUACCCAUCAGGAAAGACAUCACUCACAGAAGAAGCACCGGCUAACUCCGUGCCAGCAGCCGCGGUAAUACGGAGGGUGCGAGCGUUAAUCGGAAUUACUGGGCGUAAAGCGCGCGUAGGUGGCUUGAUAAGCCGGUUGUGAAAGCCCCGGGCUCAACCUGGGAACGGCAUCCGGAACUGUCAAGCUAGAGUGCAGGAGAGGAAGGUAGAAUUCCCGGUGUAGCGGUGAAAUGCGUAGAGAUCGGGAGGAAUACCAGUGGCGAAGGCGGCCUUCUGGACUGACACUGACACUGAGGUGCGAAAGCGUGGGUAGCAAACAGGAUUAGAUACCCUGGUAGUC